UGGGGAAUAUUGCGCAAUGGCCGAAAGGCUGACGCAGCGACGCCGCGUGGGGGAUGAAGCAUUUCGGUGUGUAAACCCCUGUUGCUCGGGACGAACAAGCAGCUUUGGCUGCUCUGACGGUACCGGGUGAGGAAGCACCGGCUAACUCCGUGCCAGCAGCCGCGGUAAUACGGAGGGUGCGAGCGUUGUCCGGAAUCACUGGGCGUAAAGGGCGCGUAGGCGGUCUGCUAAGCGUGUGGUGAAAGCUCGGGGCUCAACCCUGAGUCGGCCCUGCGAACUGGUGGACUAGAGCACUGUAGAGGCAGGUGGAAUUCCGGGUGUAGCGGUGGAAUGCGUAGAGAUCCGGAAGAACACCGGUGGCGAAGGCGGCCUGCUGGGCAGUAGCUGACGCUGAGGCGCGACAGCGUGGGGAGCAAACAGG
rnacentral:rRNA from 1 species